rnacentral:rRNA from 1 species
UACGUAGGGGGCUAGCGUUGUCCGGAUUUAUUGGGCGUAAAGAGCGUGUAGGCGGCCAUGUAGGUCCGGUGUGAAAACUCGAGGCUUAACCUCGAGAUGUCAUCGGAAACCAUUUGGCUAGAGUCCGGAAGAGGAGAGUGGAAUUCCUGGUGUAGCGGUGAAAUGCGCAGAUAUCAGGAGGAACACCUAUUGCGAAGGCAGCUCGCUGGGACGGUACUGACACUAAGGCGCGAAAGCGUGGGGAGCGAACAGG